rnacentral:rRNA from 1 species
AACGAACGCUGGCGGCAUGCCUAACACAAGCAAGUCGAACGAGACCUUCGGGUCUAGUGGCGCACGGGUGCGUAACGCGUGGGAACCUGCCCUUAGGUUCGGAAUAACUCCCCGAAAGGGGUGCUAAUACCGGAUAAUGUCUUCGGACCAAAGAUUUAUCGCCUUUGGAUGGGCCCGCGUUGGAUUAGCUAGUUGGUAGGGUAAAAGCCUACCAAGGCGACGAUCCAUAGCUGGUCUGAGAGGAUGAUCAGCCACACUGGGACUGAGACACGGCCCAGACUCCUACGGGAGGCAGCAGUGGGGAAUAUUGGACAAUGGGCGAAAGCCUGAUCCAGCAAUGCCGCGUGAGUGAUGAAGGCCUUAGGGUUGUAAAGCUCUUUUAACCGGGAUGAUAAUGACAGUACCGGGAGAAUAAGCUCCGGCUAACUCCGUG